GCCCUCGUUGUCUAAUGGCUAUGACGUCAGACUUCUAUCAAGAGGGCUUAUCUGGAGGUUGUGGGUUCGAGUCCCACCGGGGGUA